UUUUUUUUUUUUUUUAUAUAGAUUUGAAUUUGAAUUGGUUUAGGCGCUUAACGGANNNNNNNNNNNNNNNNNNNNUCCCUGACAUAUUUUUUUUUAUUCAGAUUCGGCAAUUUGGAAACCAACUACAAAGCUCAAGAAACAAAGACCUUGACCAAUUGAGAUAUAAUUGUAUUAUUGAUUUGUUUUUUUUUUUUUUAUAAAUACCCCUGUAUUAAAAGAUAGAAAUUCAUUUGGCAUCUUUUAUCAGAGUGUUAACACUAAAAGUUAAAAGUUUAAAUCAAAUAGAAAUUAUUUAUUUAUAACAUACACAUAAAAUGCAUGCCAAAUAAUCUAUUGAAAAAUAGGAGAAAAUGGGCUUUGUUAGUUGGGCCAGUUGAGUAAGAAAUGAGAUUGAGAAAGAAAGAUGGCGGGUGAGGUGAGGUGUGUCUCUACCAUCACCACAUACACAAGAAAGGGAUGGAGAUAAGAUUGUUGGGGAAGAAGAAGAAGAAGGUGGAAAGAAGAAAAGAGAAAAGAUGGCUUCAUCUCUUUUCUCCCCAGUCAGCACCGGCUCAUUUCCUUGGCAUCUCAAAUGCGGUUUCUCCCCUCACACUCGCCUUUCAUCCCUCCAUAAAAACAGGCUGAGAUGCAGCUUUUCUCCGGAGGACAUUCCUGUUGAUUUUGUUGGCCAGUCUCUCUCUCAUUAUCUCCCUGCUUUCAACGAUACGCAGAAAUGGGCAUCCUUGGGACUUGUGUGGUUUUACCUGACGGCGAGGCCUGGUGUUCUCGUCGGGGCCAUUGACGCCUACCUCCUCGCUCCACUCCAGCUCGGGCUUGACACUCUGAUCGGGACAAGGAGGUUUAAGAGGUCCGAUUUCUUGGUGACAGAGAAGCUUGGGGAAGGGUCUUUCGGAGUGGUGUAUUCUGGGGUACUUCUCCCAAAGAAUUCAAGCGUAGAUGAGGCGAGGCUUAUGAACAAGGCCACACUUAAAUCUUUGGUGGGGGAAGAGUUUAAGGAGAGGGUCAUUCUCAAGCAGGUUAAGCUUGGGGUCCGAGGUGCUCAGGAAUUCGGCGAGUUCGAAGAGUGGUUCAACUACAGACUCUCACGCGCUGCUCCUGACACCUGCGCUGAGUUUCUCGGUAGCUUUGUCGCCGACAAGACCAAUACUAUGUUUACUAAAGGCGGCAAAUGGCUCGUCUGGAGGUUCGAGGGAGACCGUGAUCUGGCUGAUUACAUGAAAGAUCGGACCUUUCCUUCCAAUCUCGAGUCCAUCAUGUUUGGCCGCGUUCUUCAAGGUGUGGAGUCUGUGAAACGUCGUGCACUCAUCAUUAAGCAGAUCAUGCGCCAGAUCAUUACAUCUCUGAGGAAGAUCCAUGAUACCGGCAUUGUUCACAGGGACGUUAAGCCCGCCAACUUGGUGGUUACAAAGAAGGGUCAGAUUAAGCUCAUAGACUUCGGUGCUGCUGCUGAUCUUCGCAUCGGCAAGAAUUACAUCCCUGAACGCACUUUGCUUGAUCCCGACUACUGUCCUCCUGAGCUCUAUGUCCUCCCCGAGGAAACCCCUAGUCCUCCUCCCGAGCCUAUUGCCGCCUUGCUUUCCCCCAUUCUCUGGCAGGUUCGUUCCUUUCUUUUCAUUGUUUUUCUUUUCUUUCCUUAAUCUGGAGUGUUCCUUCUCACAGCUCAACAGUCCGGAUCUGUUUGAUAUGUACUCUGCUGGGAUUGUGCUUCUGCAAAUGGCCGUUCCGUCCAUAAGAUCUUCUGCUGGUCUGAAGAAUUUCAAUCUAGAGAUCAAGUCACUUGAAUAUGACCUGAAUAGAUGGCGGGACAGGACUCGGACGAGGCCAGACUUGACCAUACUAGACCUGGACUCUGGCACAGGGUGGGACCUCGUCACUAAACUUAUAUCCGAGAGAGGUUCUCUGAGACGCGGACGCCUUUCAGCCGCUGCUGCUCUCAGACACCCUUAUUUUUUCUUGGGUGGUGAUCAGGCUGCUGCUGUUCUUUCUAAGCUUAGUUUCAGCAGCAAGUAAUUUCUUAUAUCAUGUACACAACUCUCUGUUCCUCGAAUAAACUACUCUUUUUUUUCUUUCUAGUAUAUGCUCUGCUUCUCGAUUCACAAUCAAACCAGCCUGAACAAGGUAUGUUUGUAUUUAUACAUGUCUGGUCUGGAAUGAAAUUUCUCAUUUCUCAAGCAGGUAAAGUAAGUUCACUCACCUCAAUAUACCGACAUUUUAUAUAUAAUUAAACAACACUUGUGCACACUUUGCUGUCGUUGUGAUUCACAUAAGGUUUUAGUACUUAAAAAGCGGCAUCUAGGACAGUGUGAUAUAAAUAUAUACACAUUAAACACUGAUAUUUGUAUUACCGUAGCUGUGAUUCACAAAAGGUUUAAAGCUCGUCGUCGUGCGAAAGAAGGGCAUCGAGGGCAGUGUGAUUCUUUUUCUUGCAUCCCCACUUGCAUCUCCAGCCGCACAAGGAGUUGAAGAUGGCAAGACGUUUGGAUUGCAGAGAUAUGAUUUUUGAAGCGGUGUGAGCUCUCGUUAGAUAAACCGCGUAGCCAUCAUCCAUGAACUCUGCUCCCUGAGGGAAGACCUGCCACACCAGGCUUCCCGCACCUGCCCCUCCUUUCCUUGUUGAGUUAAGGGUCAUCUUGUACACCGUAUUUAACAUCAUGUCACGGAAACUCGUGUUGAAACCAGGGUCAUGUGCGGACACACCAAACUCUGUGAACAGAACCGGCAUUCCCAAGUACGUCUCUGCGUCCUCCACAUGAGCUUGCAUCCACGAGUUAGUGAAUUCCAGGAAAGUAUCUGACACUGCCGGAGAUAUCCUACAGUUUGCAAUUCCAUUUACUGGCAUUUUUAAGCUGUUCUCACCGUUUUCAGAUUCAGGGCACAAAUCAAAAACUUACCAGGCAUCUGGAUAGACGUGAACCGAAGCAAAAUCGACGCCAAGAGCUUGAUUAUUUCUGAUGAAGUCGGUUCCGACUUGUGCAGCGUAGGGGUUGGGAUUGAAUUUGGUUCGAGCUGGAGCAGAGGGACCAUAGAAGCCUUCGAGUCCGAUCUCUACCAUAUGUUUAGCAUCUAAGCUCUUCACAAACACUGCCAUUUCUUGUAUCCAAGACUGGAGUUUGUCACCGGAAGGAUCGGAGGGGCAACGGGGCUCAUUCAUGAGUUCCCAGGCGAAGAUUGUGGGGUCGUUCUUGUAUGUGAUGUUUGUGAAGGUGUUCACUCUAUUAAGCACCGUCUGCAGUGCAACCACAUUCAUGUUACAAAUAUAUAUAUAUAUGUAUUUUUUUGGAUAGAUAAAGCAAUGGAUGGAAUAAUCACCCGGACAUGGGAUUUGUAGAAGUCUCUCAGGGUGGGGUUGGUGAAGAAGUCGUCAUCAGAGGUGAGAUUAAGACCAGAGGCAUUGCCCCAUUUAACGUACUGAGCUUUGCCCCCAUAGUCGUUCCAGUUGUUGACCAGUGAGAGUAUAAGUCUGAUCUUGUACUUUCCGGCCUCGCUCACCACGAAGUCCAGGGCCUGCCCAAAUUGCUCAAACCUUUAAGCAAAAAAAAAAAAAAAGAGAGAGUAAGAGGCUUUUUAGGUGUAGAUAGAUCGAUACUACCUUGAAGACAUCUUCAUCGUAAACAGAGGGGGAUUUCUGGAGAGCUCUCCAUUGACCGUCGUUGAAAGCCCAGGUCCUGCCUACCGUUAAACCAACUGCCGAGGCUUGUUGGAACACGUCCGUCACUUUGCCUCUCGUGGAGUUAUCAGCUGCCAGAGUCAUCAUCCAGUAAGUGUUGAAGCCAUUCACGUAGAAUGGUUGUCCAUUUAGGGUGAACUGCUGCCCUUUCCUCUGCACCAUCUCCCAUUCUUCUUCUGAGUUAACCCUGCCCAAACACAGUCUUAAUAUGUCAAGUCUUUUCUUCCUGUAAAAUAAUUCGGAGAUAAAAUCUGUGAUCAUUAGUAAAUGUGUACCCAUGGGAAUUUGCAAGAGCUCUGUGCUGUGUUAGAAUCAUGAAAACCGCAGAGCAGAGCACGAAUCUGAAUCCAAGACGGUCCUUCAUUUUUUUACAGGUGUAUCGAUGAGGGGGGAGCUUCAUAUUCAUCUGGUUACAUGUUUGGCGGGUAUAUAUAUAUGUAUCCAAUAAGACAUGAACUCGAUUAUUAAAAUCCAAAACUUUUAACUUACAAGGCAAGAGAAACAAACGUUCCUAGUUCCAAAACUGAGAGAUAUGAAACUUGAAGCACAUGGCUCCUAGGUAUCAUUUCAGAGGAUUAAAGUGUGAGACAAUUCCAAAGUAACGCGUCCCUGCCAAGCUAAGAUUCGAAGAGCACCCACUUCUCGACAGUGGAGUUAGCUGACAUGUCAAACUCAGUUCAUUUCGUGCAAGCUUCAGUUAAGACCAACCCAUCUUCUAAGUCAUUUUACAAACAAGAUGAUUGAGAUCUGAGUCCAGGAAGCUUACUUGCAUCUUCUGCCCACGAUAAAAUGGUAUAAAAGGGGCAAAUACGGUUGUCCUAUCUUUUUACCCCCCCUGGAUUUCUGGUUGAGCACGAAAUUGCACAAUGUGAUCAUAAAGCAACUUUCUUUUUUUUCUUUUGGUUGUGACAUCUUUGAUAGGGGAGGAACUCGUGUUUUUGCAUUACAUGCAUAUAUAACAGAAAAAAAGUUACUUUCUUUUUAUUCUGGUAUCCAUUAGCCUAUUCUCAGCAACUAAUCAUUAAGGAAGUUUCACAAAAAUUUCCAACAAUUUUGCUCAGUAUUCACCGUCUAAGGAGGCAGUAACUUCAAAACAGUAUUGUAAAGAAAACAUAUUCUGGUUGGUUCUCAAAUCACAAGAAAAUCUUACAAUGCCCCACCCAGCACGUGGCUCUUAAAGUUGAAGAGUUCCAUAUUCACAGGGGAUUCGGUUCGUUGAUCGAUGCUACCAAACCACACUGCAAGACAUUUUACAAUUUCACAUCUAUCUGAAUGCAGGAAUUAGGCACUUUCAGACAUUAUAGUAGUUCUACUUACCAUCUCACAGCUGAGAGUGGAAAUACCAUUGUCCUCCGCGAGAGCUGUGUCUGGACUUUUGCAGCAGCUGCAGAUUACGAACGCAUCUAAGACAAAUGUAUACAUAUCAGACAAGACUUCCAUUGCAAAAGAGAGAAAAAGAUAAUGAAAGAUACCAAUGUAUCUCUGAAACACAGCUUGGAAAUGCUGAGAAGACACUAAACCCUUCAUCUCAAGCUGGUGCUGUUUGUUGAGCCAUCCCUUGGUCUCCAUUUGGCCAAGUAAGAAUUUUAUGACAUGACCUGGCUUUCUAUGCAUCCUGGAACAUACAUACAUAGCUUUAAAAAGUGAUACAUAGAUCAACUAGGAAACAAAAAAACAAGGGUCGUACGUUGUGCAGAGAUGAGCAAAGUCUAAACAAACUGUUAUCUGUGUCCCUUGUGCGAGGAGCUGGGGACGACGCAUCAUCACUGUUCUUGGCCUCUCUGUGGAAACCUCCUCCUCACGAAGCAUAUCAAAGACCCUACUCAAGAGCUGCAGAGCAUAGAGAAGCUGGGAUCAUUAUCCAGAGGAAUAGCAUUACUCAAAAGCGCAGCUAAUUUAAAUUAAAAAAAAAAAACACACCUCUGCAUAGCCAUAAUCGGGCUCAGAGUCGUAGGUAGCGUCUUCCCGUAUAAACAGCUUUUUCUUCUUCUUCUUCUUCUUUUUGGAAGGAUCCAAUUUGGUGACCUACAUCAUCAGCAUAAGAAGCUUUAGCAAAGCAGAACAUACAAGGGAUGAGCUAGUUUCAAUGAUACAUCUAAAACCUUGUCGAGCUCGAGUUUCCAACAAGCCUCCUGCUCUUGCUGUAAAUCCAUCGUUGCCGGCGGGUCCGAUCAGACCGUCGCCUGAAAAACUAAUUGAUUGAAACGCCACCAAAUGGGCCUCCUUAAGAGUAUCUUUUCAUAUAGAGGCCCAAUUAGUGUCCUAUAUAUAUAUAUUUAUUAGACAUUUGACACGAUACGAAGAUUGCUAACGGGUCCGUAUCUUAUAUAUAUACCCAUGUUCGAAACUAGUCGCGCUAGUGCGGCGUUGACCCCGGACCUAGCGAGUUACCGAAAAAUCGGGGAUUAAUCGGAGUAUACGCGGAGAUUAGUUUUUAUUAUUUUUUAAUUAUAAAUAUAUGUAUAUAUAUUAGUACAUGUAAAUAUUAGACAAAUGAACAACGUAGGCCAGUGAUACGGGAGUCAUGUCUUGCGGUAAGAGGUCUAGGGUUUGAUUCUUCCGAGUUUCAAUUUUUCUGUUGUUUUUAAUUGCGCUAGACGAGAAAAAAAAAUUUAGAAACCAACUGCACUUGUCCCACAUCGACUAAUUUUACUCUAAGGGGAGUCUUGAGUCUUCUAUAAAUACAAGGAGAAAGUUUCCACUAUUUCCAGACAACCGGGUUUCUUCCAUGGCCCAAUAAUUUGUCACCAAAGUCCAAAAUUUAGUUGAGUAAAUCGGUUUAUGUCCGAUUAAUCGGCAAUUAGUCGGUUUUCUAAAUGAUUAAUUGUGUUUCCGAUUAAUUUCAACGAUUUGGCUAAAAUCGAAACGGGCCUUCGACGCCUAGCGCCCAGGCGGCCGGCUAGGCGGCCGCGUUUUCAAACAGAGAUAUAUACCAAAGAGGAUGGAGACACGUGGUGUUUGGUAGUGUAUCGGUGUUUCUCACGCGUUUAUUUUUAUUUUUUAAUUCUUACUCUCACGCGCAUGACGUUUGUUACGGUGAAGUGCUGUUUGCUCUAAUUGGGCUUCGCUUAUCUUUUUUUAAAUUGAGCCCGCUUUUUAUUUGAGGCCCAUAUGUAUUAGGUUCUUCUUCCUUCUUUUUCUUGUGGCUGAUUCUUUACCGACGAAACCACGCACCGACUAAAGACGACGCCCUUUGAUAACCGUAACGUCUCGCAAAUUCUUUAAUCCGUCAUUUAAUUUGGGUUAUCCCUUCAUUAGUCCACAGCUCCCACAUUAAGAUUUCGAUCUACCUCUUCGUUUCUACUGUAACCCCAUGAAUCUAUGUGAUGGUUAUACCGAUUCUACAUCACUAUCAUUCUAUAUAUAUAGACCCACAGUGAGUCUCCUCCACAUAUAUUUCCGUCAAGCUCCCCGGGAAGACAAUGAUGAUGAUUCCAUCUGGUCGCACUUUCGUCGAAACAGUUCGGUGUUUCUCCAGCAUCACUCGAAAGUCCGUCGAGCUCCUCUUAGUCGGCGACCACGGAGAUUCAUGAUCACAGAUGAACAAAUCUCUCAGUUCAAUCGUAACCUCAAUUUCAUAUGUUUUAGAGAUGUGAACAUGAUUUAAAAUCAGAAAUAGGAGACAACAAUCCCGGAGAAAGACGCUCUGCUUCACAAUCCAGUAAUAGAUUGAUUUCGACUAAUCUCAAUGAAUGUUCUUUCUUAUAAUUGGGAUCAUAUGUUUAACAAGCUUAUGGUGAUUGACCGAUUCUGGACAACCGCAACAGGUAAAGCCCAAUAUAAAAUCUGGCUUUUUUGGUCAAUCUUCCACAUAUCAGCAUCUCACUGCAUCUGAAUCUAUUGCUUUUUUUUUGUUUUUCAAAGCUCAAUGGAGAUGAUGAGUUGAUGUCGUGUCGUGUUCUACCAAGUGUUGGUCUGAAUUACUUAAAAAAUUAAUUAUAUGCAUAAGAAAGCACAGUGGACAAAGUUAGCUCAUCUAAUAUAUUUUUUACUCACUUUAAUCUUCUUCUUUUCUUUGUUUGGUUUUUGGUUAUUCUUCCGUGCAUUGGAUGGAGUGGUUCAUUUAUUUGAAGCUUCAGUCUGAAGGUAUGUCUGCCUUAGAUUACGUAUGAUAGUUAUUGGCUUAUAGAGCUCCUUGAUUUAAAAACUGUAGCAAGUUAAUAUGGAAUUUUAUUUGGCACCAUCUUCAUUUAUCCCAAUAUAAGUCCAUGAAAUCUAAAAUUGCUUAUAUGUACCAUCAAAUUUCUAUAGAAUAUUUGGCUGAGAUAGUGUUUGUAAAAUGUAUGUUUGUAAAAGGUUCACUAUGGACAAAUUAUGAAUCUCAUGAACCGUUAUAUUUUUUUGACUUUUACUUUGAUGAAAUUUUGAGUAUCUAAAUUUUAAUGCAACUACCACGAUUAUAAGCAGGUCUUCAGCUACCAUGUUUAAGAUGGCUAAUCUGGUAGUAGGCCUGGGCGUUUGGGUCUUCGGGUUGGGUUCGGACCGGUUCCUUUAGAAAUUUUCGGUUCGGGUUCGGGUCGGUUCUUCUCGGGUCCGGGUCGGUUCGGGUCUAUAAUUAAAAUACCCAUAAAAUACCCGUAAUUUUUCGGGUCCAUAUCGGGUCCGGGUCGGGUUCGGGUAUUUAUGAUCUGAAAAGGACAUGAUAUACCCAAUUCCAUCAACUGUAGUUGAAUAUUUGUCAUAUAUAUCUAAAAUUUUACAAAAUAACUUAAAUGAAACUAUUAAUAAUUAAAAUAAAACAUUUUAAAACUCUAAAUUUUACAUUUUAAAGCUUCAUAUUACUUUAAAAAUGUUAAAAAAUAAUAACAAAUGUUGUUAACAAAAGAUAUUUCAACUAAAUCAUAAAAUAAUAUAUAUAAAAUAGAACACAAAAACAUCAUAGUUUUAGAUAUACAAAUUUUUAAGUCGGGUACAAAUCGGUUCUUAUCGGGUCGGGUCUAUUCGGGUCAGUCCUUUUCGGGUCCGGAUCUAUUCGGGUCGGUUCCUUUUCGGCUAAGCAGGUCUUCAGCUACCAUGUUUAAGAUGGCUAAUCUGGUAGUAGGCCUGGGCGUUUGGGUCUUCGGGUUGGGUUCGGACCGGUUCCUUUAGAAAUUUUCGGUUCGGGUUCGGGUCGGUUCUUCUCGGGUCCGGGUCGGUUCGGGUCUAUAAUUAAAAUACCCAUAAAAUACCCGUAAUUUUUCGGGUCCAUAUCGGGUCCGGGUCGGGUUCGGGUAUUUAUGAUCUGAAAAGGACAUGAUAUACCCAAUUCCAUCAACUGUAGUUGAAUAUUUGUCAUAUAUAUCUAAAAUUUUACAAAAUAACUUAAAUGAAACUAUUAAUAAUUAAAAUAAAACAUUUUAAAACUCUAAAUUUUACAUUUUAAAGCUUCAUAUUACUUUAAAAAUGUUAAAAAAUAAUAACAAAUGUUGUUAACAAAAGAUAUUUCAACUAAAUCAUAAAAUAAUAUAUAUAAAAUAGAACACAAAAACAUCAUAGUUUUAGAUAUACAAAUUUUUAAGUCGGGUACAAAUCGGUUCUUAUCGGGUCGGGUCUAUUCGGGUCAGUCCUUUUCGGGUCCGGAUCUAUUCGGGUCGGUUCCUUUUCGGCUCCGGUUCUUUCGGGUAAAAAAAUUUAGACCCAAAAAGUACUUGUAAAUUUUCGGUCCGGUUCCGGAUCGGAUAUUUUUGGGUCGGUUCCGGUUCGGAUCUUCGGGUCCAGGUUAAAAUGCCCAGGCCUAUCUGGUUGGAUUAUAUUAGAAGAGAUGGGGAAAAGAUAUAGAUUGGCAUCCACACAACAAUAAACUUUUCUUUCUGUGUAUACCUCAAUAAGGAAAGAACAUCGGCGUAAAAGACUGCAUCACCGAGUAAACCAAGGUACGUAAUCUUUUCUAAACAAUCCUUACACCUAUCUCAUGAGAAACCACUCAAAACUUUUCAUUAUGGUUAACUUAUUUUCUUUUUCAGCGGUGGGAGUUGACCCACCUAACCAACAAGAACAAGUCAUCACUCAAAAUUGCAUUCAAAGUAAUAUAAGAACUAGGUAUCUUCCUGCACCAUGUGCAAUAAAAAAAUUUAAAAUAUUUUUUAACAGAUAAAUAUAAAUUAUAUUCUAAAAUAAAAUUUUAUUACUAUUGUAAAUUUUCUUUUUCCUUUCAAUAUUUUAAUAAAAAUUUGAUUUAAUUAAACAUAAAAAUUAUAUUCAAGAAUAUGCAUGUAUAUAUUUGAAAUUAUAAUCUUAGAUAGAUUUUUCUAUCUAUUUAUUUUAAUUAAAUAUAUUAAAUAAAUUUGUAUAAGUUGCAUAAUUACCAACAAUUAAAAUUAAACAAUAUUUAUAAAAUUUGUAGAUAUAUAACAAAAUAAUGAUUUUACGAUUGAAUUUUUAUAAUUUUCUAAAAAAAUUGUAUACAUUUUUGAAAAUUUUAGUAAUAAAAUUGUAUAAUUUAAAAAUAUAUAAUUAAAUUAUAUUUCGAACUUUAUAAUUCCAUAUUUGAAUAUAUUUAUUUUAAUGAUGAUUUAUGAGUUAUUCUCAUAUUGAAAAAAAUUUCCAAAAAUAUAAAUUGACAUUAAAUGUAAUAUAUGAGUUAUUAUCAUAUUUCAAAAAGUUUACCAAAAAUAUAAAUUAACAUUAAAUGCAAUUGUCCAUGUCAUAUUAAGCUAUAAGACAUGUCAUCAAUUUCAGUAGUUAUGCCAUAUUUGUUUUGUGAAAUUGAUUGUAGAAAAGACAUGUGGCAAAAUCACUUCGCAAAUAUAGUCUAGGGGAUAUUCACAACCUCUAUUGGUAACAUAAUCUCACGCAGCAUCGCUAUGACUGUAUUUUUUUUUCUUUUCUCUACGACUGUAUCACAAUACUCUCAUAUAUGUUUACGCAUCUGCUACUAUAUUUCUUACACAAAAUCCCUCAUGGUCCGUUGACAAUUCAAACAAACACACUAAAACCCAAUGAUAAGUACUGUCAGUAUAGCUCAGGCGAUAUGAAACAAUAUAAGCCUUAAACAAAACAAAUAUAAUUGUUCUAGACUUAACAGCAUCAAACUUGAAACUUUUAUAUACAAUUAAGUAAAACAUAUAAUAAUACACAAAUAAUCUCACGCAAAUAAUGUAUUUCAAUAGAAAAUACAGCUGAGAUAGAUAAUAAAAUUAAAUUUUUAAAAAAAUAUAAAAUUUUACACAACAAAUAUAAUAUUCCCGCGCGCGAAGCAUAAUGUAAAAUUAUUAUGUAUUCAGUAACAUGUUAAUAUUACGAUAAACAUAAUAUAUGAUAAGAAUAACAAAACAUACACAAUAAAAAUUAAUAUCAACUUACGUUUAAGUAAGUUAUAUUUAUGUAUUUUUUGGUUACAAAUCCUAGUAUAUAUAUAUAUAUAUAUGUUACAGAUAACAGCAAACCAAAAGCUCAGUCAGGUGUUUGUUUCGUUUGUGGUAUGACUCAGCGAGGAGCGAUGCUGGGAACAACGCCGCUGCUGAGAUCGCUUCCUAAAAGGCUCGCCGACUCGUAAAGGUCUCUUGUCACAUUCGAAGAAGAUGUUGACAGCACCGAGGAGGACGACUUCGUCUCCAUUUUUCCUUCCUUGUCGGGGAGGAGUGCCUCCAGCUCUUUCACCACCUCAGCCAUCGCAGGCCUCAUAUCAGGCGAGUCGUGGCUACACCUCAGUGCCAAUGAGAAAAACCUUUCAGCGGUUUCCAUCGACCAUGCCUCCAUUCUCUUGUCUAUCAGCGACACCAUCAUGUCCGCCGUCUUCACCUCUCGCACAAUGUUUUUGCCAUGGGAUAUGGCGUGCAUACCAGUCAGCAGCUCCAAGAACACAACCCCAAUGCUGUACACGUCGCUCUUGUCCGUCAGCUUGUGCGUCAGGAAGUAUUCUGGAUCCAGGUACCCCUGCAACAAUCACAAACUAAGCCAUGCAUGCAUCUAAAUAGGUUCGGGUUCGGGUCGGUUCUUCUCGGGUCCGGGUCGGUUCGGGUCUAUAAUUAAAAUACCCAUAAAAUACCCGUAAUUUUUCGGGUCCAUAUCGGGUCCGGGUCGGGUUCGGGUAUUUAUGAUCUGAAAAGGACAUGAUAUACCCAAUUCCAUCAACUGUAGUUGAAUAUUUGUCAUAUAUAUCUAAAAUUUUACAAAAUAACUUAAAUGAAACUAUUAAUAAUUAAAAUAAAACAUUUUAAAACUCUAAAUUUUACAUUUUAAAGCUUCAUAUUACUUUAAAAAUGUUAAAAAAUAAUAACAAAUGUUGUUAACAAAAGAUAUUUCAACUAAAUCAUAAAAUAAUAUAUAUAAAAUAGAACACAAAAACAUCAUAGUUUUAGAUAUACAAAUUUUUAAGUCGGGUACAAAUCGGUUCUUAUCGGGUCGGGUCUAUUCGGGUCAGUCCUUUUCGGGUCCGGAUCUAUUCGGGUCGGUUCCUUUUCGGCUCCGGUUCUUUCGGGUAAAAAAAUUUAGACCCAAAAAGUACUUGUAAAUUUUCGGUCCGGUUCCGGAUCGGAUAUUUUUGGGUCGGUUCCGGUUCGGAUCUUCGGGUCCAGGUUAAAAUGCCCAGGCCUAUCUGGUUGGAUUAUAUUAGAAGAGAUGGGGAAAAGAUAUAGAUUGGCAUCCACACAACAAUAAACUUUUCUUUCUGUGUAUACCUCAAUAAGGAAAGAACAUCGGCGUAAAAGACUGCAUCACCGAGUAAACCAAGGUACGUAAUCUUUUCUAAACAAUCCUUACACCUAUCUCAUGAGAAACCACUCAAAACUUUUCAUUAUGGUUAACUUAUUUUCUUUUUCAGCGGUGGGAGUUGACCCACCUAACCAACAAGAACAAGUCAUCACUCAAAAUUGCAUUCAAAGUAAUAUAAGAACUAGGUAUCUUCCUGCACCAUGUGCAAUAAAAAAAUUUAAAAUAUUUUUUAACAGAUAAAUAUAAAUUAUAUUCUAAAAUAAAAUUUUAUUACUAUUGUAAAUUUUCUUUUUCCUUUCAAUAUUUUAAUAAAAAUUUGAUUUAAUUAAACAUAAAAAUUAUAUUCAAGAAUAUGCAUGUAUAUAUUUGAAAUUAUAAUCUUAGAUAGAUUUUUCUAUCUAUUUAUUUUAAUUAAAUAUAUUAAAUAAAUUUGUAUAAGUUGCAUAAUUACCAACAAUUAAAAUUAAACAAUAUUUAUAAAAUUUGUAGAUAUAUAAGAAAAUAAUGAUUUUACGAUUGAAUUUUUAUAAUUUUCUAAAAAAAUUGUAUACAUUUUUGAAAAUUUUAGUAAUAAAAUUGUAUAAUUUAAAAAUAUAUAAUUAAAUUAUAUUUCGAACUUUAUAAUUUCAUAUUUGAAUAUAUUUAUUUUAAUGAUGAUUUAUGAGUUAUUCCCAUAUUCUAAAAAAAUUCCAAAAAUAUAAAUUGACAUUAAAUGUAAUAUAUGAGUUAUUACCAUAUUUUAAAAAGUUUACCUAGUUUCAAUGAUACAUCUAAAACCUUGUCCAGCUCGAGUUUCCAACAAGCCUCCUGCUCUAACUCUUGCUGUAAAUCCAUCGUUGCCGGCGGGUCCGAUCCGACCGUCGCUUGAAACUAAUUGAUUGGUACGACGCCAAAUGGGCCUAGUAUCUUUUCAUAUAGAGGCCCAAUUAGUGUCCCGUAUAUAUUUAGACAUUUGACACGAUACGAAGAUUUGCUAACGGGUCCUUAUUGGGCCUUUAGUGAGACAUUUCUUUUUUGUUUCAAAGUAUUUGUGUUUUUUUUUCUUUUCUAAAGGGAAUAUAUAUAUAUAUAUAUAUGUUACAGAUAACAGCAAACCAAAAGCUCACUCAGGUGUUUGUUUCGUUUGUGGUAUGUAUGACUCAGCGAGGAGCGAUGCUGGGAACAACGCCGCUGCUGAGAUCGCUUCCUAAAAGGCUCGCCGACUCGUAAAGGUCUCUUGUCACAUUCGAAGAAGAUGUUGACAGCACCGAGGAGGACGACUUCGUCUCCAUUUUUCCUUCCUUGUCGGGGAGGAGUGCCUCCAGCUCUUUCACCACCUCAGCCAUCGCAGGCCUCAUAUCAGGCGAGUCGUGGCUACACC
rnacentral:lncRNA from 1 species